GCGUAAGCGCACGCAGGCGGUCUGUCAAGUCGGAUGUGAAAUCCCCGGCCUCAACCUGGGAACUGCAUCCGAAACUGGCAGGCUAGAGUCUUGUAGAGGGGGGUAGAAUUCCAGGUGUAGCGGUGAAAUGCGUAGAGAUCUGGAGGAAUACCGGUGGCGAAGGCGGCCCCCUGGACAAAGACUGACGCUCAGGUGCGAAAGCGUGGGGAGCAAACAGGAUUAGAUACCCUGGUAGUCCACGCCGUAAACGAUGUCGACUUGGAGGUUGUGCCCUUGAGGCGUGGCUUCCGGAGCUAACGCGUUAAGUCGACCGCCUGGGGAGUACGGCCGCAAGGUUAAAACUCAAAUGAAUUGACGGGGGCCCGCACAAGCGGUGGAGCAUGUGGUUUAAUUCGAUGCAACGCGAAGAACCUUACCUACUCUUGACAUCCGGAGAACUUAGCAGAGAUGCUUUCGUGCCUUCGGGAACUCUGAGACAGGUGCUGCAUGGCUGUCGUCAGCUCGUGUUGUGAAAUGUUGGGUUACGUCCCGCAACGAGCGCAACCCUUAUCCUUUGUUGC
rnacentral:rRNA from 1 species